rnacentral:rRNA from 1 species
AUACGUAGGGGGCGAGCGUUGUCCGGAAUGAUUGGGCGUAAAGGGCGCGUAGGCGGCCCGGUAAGUCUGGAGUGAAAGUCCUGUUUUUAAGAUGGGAAUUGCUUUGGAUACUGUCGGGCUUGAGUGCAGGAGAGGUAAGUGGAAUUCCCAGUGUAGCGGUGAAAUGCGUAGAGAUUGGGCGGAACACCAGUGGCGAAGGCGACUUACUGGACUGUAACUGACGCUGAGGCGCGAAAGUGUGGGGAGCAAACAGGAUUAGAUACCCUGGUAGUCCACACUGUAAACGAUGAAUGCUAGGUGUAGGGGGUAUCGACCCCUUCUGUGCCGCAGUCAACACAAUAAGCAUUCCGCCUGGGGAGUACGGCCGCAAGGUUGAAACUCAAAUGAAUUGACGGGG